UACGGAGGGGGCAAGCGUUAUUCGGAUUUAUUGGGCGUAAAGGGCGUGUAGGCGGCUUGAUAAGUCGAAGGUGAAAUCCCAUGGCUCAACCAUGGAACUGCCUUCGAAACUGUCUCGCUAGAGUUCGGGAGAGGGUAGUGGAAUUCCCAGUGUAGCGGUGAAAUGCGUAGAUAUUGGGAGGAACACCAGUGGCGAAGGCGACUACCUGGACCGAUACUGACGCUGAGGCGCGAAAGCGUGGGUAGCAAACAGG
rnacentral:rRNA from 1 species